AUGAUGCAAAAAAGGAUUGAUUUCAAAAGUUGCGAGUUGCAUUGGCAGCCGCCCUUGGCGCCCGGGCCACCUUUUUCCCGGGCCCCGCUGCAAGGGCCGGGAACGUUUCCGCCACCUGGCCGGGCUCGACCGCGCGGCGCUCUGCGGGGCGCUGUCCCCGCUCCCCGAGUGCGCAGCGGAGCGUCCUGGAAGACAAUGACCAUGGGAACAAUUUGCACAGGAGGCUAGGAGCCCAGGAAAAGCCGCCUGGGCGCCAGGCAGAGGUUUUUUGAAAACACAAACGGCGCGUUAGAUGCUUGGGGACUCCCAGCAUCUGUCCUUCCUAUUGUUUAGCUCGGCUCCGGAGUUCACGGGAGCCUCGUGAAAUGUGGAGACGUCCUGCAAAGUUUCUUGAACACUUCAUGUGCGUGGUAGGAAGUCGAGGAAAAAGGUUUACGGUUCCCCGCUGGUUGCAUUGUUUGUCCUGCACAUGUUCGAGCGAACAUGGCAGCCGCAACCCUGGAUGUGUUCGAAUUGACAUCGAGGGGGGAGCUUCACGUCGUGAAAUAACUUUUUUCUGGGCUUUCGAGAUUCUAAAGCAUUGCUGAUGAAAAUAAACCAAAUACUUUCAGAUAUC
rnacentral:lncRNA from 10 species